AAACUUUCAACAAUGGAUCUCUUGGUUCCGGCAUCGAUGAAGAACGCAGCGAAAUGCGAUAAUUAAUGUGAAUUGCAGAAUUCAGUGAAUCAUCGAGUCUUUGAACGCACAUUGCACCCCCUGGUAUUCCGGGGGGUAUGCCUGUCCGAGCGUCAU
rnacentral:rRNA from 2 species